rnacentral:rRNA from 1 species
AGGACGAACGCUGGCGGCGUGCUUAACACAUGCAAGUCGAGCGGAAAGGCCCUUCGGGGUACUCGAGCGGCGAACGGGUGAGUAACACGUGAGUAAUCUGCCCCUAUGCUCUGGGAUAGCUCCGGGAAACCGGGAUUAAUACCAGAUACGACCACUUUAGACAUCUGUUGUGGUGGAAAGAAUUUUGGCUAGGGAUGAGCUCGCGGCCUAUCAGCUUGUUGGUGAGGUAACGGCUCACCAAGGCGACGACGGGUAGCCGGCCUGAGAGGGCGACCGGCCACACUGGGACUGAGACACGGCCCAGACUCCUACGGGAGGCAGCAGUGGGGAAUAUUGCGCAAUGGGCGAAAGCCUGACGCAGCGACGCCGCGUGGGGGAUGAAGGCCUUCGGGUUGUAAACCCUUUCAGCAGGGACGAAGCGAAAGUGACGGUACCUGCAGAAGAAGCGCCGGCUAACGUACGCGCCAGCAGCCGC